rnacentral:lncRNA from 1 species
GUGGAUGGUGUUAGUUUACCACUUCAAUUGAUAAAAAAUAGUCCUUCGACUUUUCGACUAGCAGGUGAAAUUAGCCUACCAUUUCAAAUGGCAAAAAUGCAUUCUUCUUUUUUUUGGCCUAUUCCAACAUCUUUUAAGAUCUAUACAAAUACAUGAAUAAUUUUGAUCAUCUAUAGAUUGCUUUGAGAUAUAUGUAGAUGAAUGAAUAUUCAGAUCAUCCACAUAAUUGUUUUAAGAUCUAUACAUAUAGAUGAAUAUUUAGAUUGCUUCAAGAUCUAUGUUGAG